GAAAUGCGAUACUUGGUGUGAAUUGCAGAAUUCAGUGAAUCAUCGAAUCUUUGAACGCACAUUGCGCCCUCUGGUAUUCCGGAGGGCAUGCCUGUUCGAGCGUCAUUUCAACCCUCAAGCCUGGCUUGGUGAUGGGGCACUGCCUGUAAGAGGGCAGGCCCUGAAAUCUAGUGGCGAGCUCGCCAGGACCCCGAGCGUAGUAGUUUAUAUCUCGCUCUGGAAGGCCCUGGCGGUGCCCUGCCGUUAAACCCCCAACUUCUGAAAAUUUGACCUCGGAUCAGGUAGGAAUACCCGCUGAACUUAA
rnacentral:misc_RNA from 1 species